UCUGCCGGCGACCGGCGCACGGGUGCGUAACGCGUAUAGAAUCUGCCUUGUACUAGGGAAUAGCCCAGAGAAAUUUGGAUUAAUGCCCUAUAGUAUAUCGUUAUGGCAUCAUAGCGAUAUUAAAGGUUACGGUACAAGAUGACUAUGCGUCCCAUUAGUUAGUUGGUGAGGUAACGGCUCACCAAGACUGCGAUGGGUAGGGGCCCUGAGAGGGGGAUCCCCCACACUGGUACUGAGACACGGACCAGACUCCUACGGGAGGCAGCAGUGAGGAAUAUUGGACAAUGGGCGGGAGCCUGAUCCAGCCAUGCCGCGUGCAGGAAGACGGUCCUAUGGAUUGUAAACUGCUUUUAUACGGGAAGAACCUGGGGCACGUGUGCCCUUCUGACGGUACCGUAAGAAUAAGGAUCGGCUAACUCCGUGCCAGCAGCCGCGGUAAUACGGAGGAUCCAAGCGUUAUCCGGAAUCAUUGGGUUUAAAGGGUCCGUAGGCGGGCCAUUAAGUCAGGGGUGAAAGUUUGCGGCUCAACCGUAAAAUUGCCCUUGAUACUGGUGGUCUUGAGUUAUAGUGAAGUGGCUAGAAUAUGUAGUGUAGCGGUGAAAUGCAUAGAUAUUACAUAGAAUACCGAUUGCGAAGGCAGGUCACUAACUAUACACUGACGCUGAUGGACGAAAGCGUGGGGAGCGAACAGGAUUAGAUACCCUGGUAGUCCACGCCGUAAACGAUGGAUACUAGCUGUUCGGGCGCAAGCCUGAGCGGCCAAGCGAAAGUGAUAAGUAUCCCACCUGGGGAGUACGUUCGCAAGAAUGAAACUCAAAGGAAUUGACG
rnacentral:rRNA from 1 species